rnacentral:rRNA from 1 species
GACGAACGCUGGCGGCGUGCCUAACACAUGCAAGUCGAGCGGGAAAGUUCCCUUCGGGGAGCGAGUACAGCGGCGAACGGGUGAGUAACACGUAGGCAACCUACCCCGGAGACCGGGAUAACCUGUCGAAAGGCGGGCUAAUACCGGAUAAGACCACGAGGGCCUCGGCCCUUUGAGGUAAAAGGUGGCCUCUGCUUGCAAGCUAUCACUCCAGGAUGGGCCUGCGCGCCAUUAGCUAGUUGGNGUAGGUAACGGCUCACCAAGGCGAAGAUGGCUAGCUGGUCUGAGAGGAUGGCCAGCCACACUGGGACUG